CUCCGACCUCAGGGGACGAGCGCUUUUAUUAGACCAAAACCGGUCGGGCCCCCGCGCCCGCCUCCGGUGGUGACUCUGGAUAACUUUCGGCCGAUCGCACGGGCACGUCCCGGCGACGCAUCUUUCAAGUGUCUGCCUUAUCAACUUUCGAUGGUAGGUCACGCGCCUACCACGGUCGUAACGGGUGACGGGGAAUCAGGGUUCGAUUCCGGAGAGGGAGCCUGARAAACGGCUACCACAUCCAAGGAAGGCAGCAGGCGCGCAAAUUACCCACUCCCGGCACGGGGAGGUAGUGACGAAAAAUAACGAUACGGGACUCUUUCGAGACCCCGUAAUCGGAAUGAGCGCGCUCCAAACACCCCAACGAGGAUCCAUUGGAGUGCAAGCCUGGUGCCAGCAGACGCGGUAACUCCAGCUCCAAUAGCGUAUAUUAAAGUUGCUGCGGUUAAAAAGCUCGUAGUUGGAUCUCAGUUCCAGGCGCGCGGCCCGCCUACCGGCGGCCACCGCGCGUCCUGAACAGCCGGCCGGUUUCCCCCGAUGAUCUUCACCGGUUGUCUCGGGUGACCGGCGAGUUUACUUUGAAAAAAUUGGAGUGCUCAAAGCAGGCGCACACCGCCUGGAUAAUGGUGCAUGGAAUAGCGGAAUAGGGCCUCGGUUCUGUUUCGUCGGUUUUCGGAACACGAGGCAAUGAUUGACAGGGACAGCCGGGGGCACUCGUAUUGCGACGCUAGAGGUGAAAUUCUUGGACCGUCGCAGGACGAACCGCAGCGAAGGCAUUUGCCAAGAAUGUUUCCGUUAGUCAAGAACGAAAGUCAGAGGUGCGAAGGCGAUCAGAUACCGCCCUAGUUCUGACCGUAAACGAUGCCAGCCAGCGAUCCGGCUGCGUUCCUCAAAUGACGCGCCGGGCAGCUUCCGGGAAACCAAAGCCUUUGGGUUCCGGGGGAAGUAUGGUUGCAAAGCUGAAACUUGAAGGAAUUGACGGAAGGGCACCACCAGCAAUGGGGCGUGCGGCUCAAUUUGACUCAACACGGGGAAGCUCACCCGGUCCGGACGCAGGAAGGAUUGACAGAUUGAGAGCUCUUUCUUGAUUCUGUGGGUGGUGGUGCAUGGCCGUUYUUAGUUGGUGGAGCGAUUUGUCAGGUUAAUUCCGAUAACGAACGAGACUCUAGCCUGCUAAAUAGUCGUCCCGGUCGGUGUCGCCGGGCGAUYUUCUUAGAGGGACAGGCGGCGUCCAGCCGCACGAGACAGAGCACUAACAGGUYUGAGAUGCCCUUAGAUGUCCGGGGCCGCACGCGCGCCACAUUGAAGGGCCCAGCGUGUGCUCUCCCGGGCCGGCAGGUCCGGGCAACCCGCUGAACCCCCUUCGUGCUAGGGAUAGGAAAUUGAAAUUGUUUUCCUUGAACGAGGAAUUCCCAGUAAGCGCGAGUCAUCAGCUCGCGUUGAUUACGUCCCUGCCCUUUGUCCACACCGCCCGUCGCUACUAUCGAUUGAGCGGCUUAGUGAGGU
rnacentral:rRNA from 1 species